CGUAGGUGGCAAGCGUUGUCCGGAUUUAUUGGGUUUAAAGGGUGCGUAGGCGGUUCUAUAAGUCAGUGGUGAAAUCCGGCAGCUCAACUGUCGAUGUGCCAUUGAUACUGCAGAACUUGAGUACAGACGAGGUAGGCGGAAUUGACGGUGUAGCGGUGAAAUGCUUAGAUAUCGUCAAGAACACCGAUAGCGAAGGCAGCUUACUAGACUGUAACUGACGCUGAUGCACGAAAGUGUGGGGAUCAAACAGGAUUAGAUACCCUGGUAGUCCACACUGUAAACGAUGAUUACUCGAUGUUGGCGAUACACAGCCAGCGUCUUAGCGAAAGCGAUAAGUAAUCCACCUGGGGAGUACGCCGGCAACGGUG
rnacentral:rRNA from 1 species